rnacentral:rRNA from 1 species
GGUGCUAGUGGGCCAGGUGCGCUAUUGCGAGCAUCUGUAACCUGCGACAUUGUCAAAUUGCGGGGAAAUCCAAAGUGGGCUGCAGUACCGCCUCGGCACCGAAAGGUCUGGCCGACGGCACCUCAGGGAAACUUGGGGGUAUGGUAAGAAUCUGUAGUCUUGGACUAUCCGCAGCCAAGUCCUAACCACCCUUUGAUAAGCCCUUAGCUCAAAAUGGCGAGCUAAGGCUAUAAGGUUGUAUGGAUGCAGUUCAACGACUAAAUGGCAGUGGGCUGGGUAACCGGCUUAAGAUAUAGUCUUGCCCCACCGGAAGGUGGCCUUGGGAUGAGGGGACUAGCAAUCCCCAGAGCCUAAGGAGGGGUUGUUACGCAUGCAGCCCUGGGAACUAACAGUCUUAGUUCGUGGAUUGAUUUGUCUGGUCUAUUCCGAUAACGAGCGAGACCCCAGCGUUCCUAGUAGGGCCAACAGCCCGACCAGCCGCAAGGCUGGUUAGCUGGCGGCUUAACAUAAGCUUCUUAGACGCAUCAGGGCCGAUAAGGUCCUUGAAAUGGGUUAAUAACAGGUCAGUCAUGCCCUUAGAUGUUCUGGGCCGCACGCGCGUUACAAUGGCAUGUAAAGCGAGUGCCGGUUAACAUGGCAUAUCCGGGGCCGAAAGGCUCUGGUAACCAUUAGUCCCUGCUUAGACUGGGACAGAUCAUUGCAAUUAUUGGUCUCAAACGAGGAAUUUUUAGUAAGCAUAGGUCAUUAACCUUUGCUGAAUGCGUCCCUGCCANAUUGUAA